AUUGAACGCUGGCGGCAGGCCUAACACAUGCAAGUCGAACGAGUGGCGGACAGGUGAGUAAUGUCUGGGAAACUGCCUGAUGGAGGGGGAUAGCUACUGGAAACGGUAGCUAAUACCGCAUACCAUCAGAUGUGCCCAGAUGGGAUUAGCUAGUUGGUGGGGUAACGGCUCACUAAGGCGACGAUCCCUAGCUGGUCUGAGAGGAUGACGGGCAACACUGGAACUGAGACAAGGCCAGGACUCCUACGGGAGGCAGCAGUGGGGAAUAUUGCACAAUGGGGGCAAGCCUGAUGCAGCCAGGCCGCGUGUAGGAAGAAGGCCUUCGGGUUGUAAAGUACUUUCAGCGGGGAGGCGUUACCCGCAGAAGAAGCACCGGCUGACUCCGUGCCAGCAGCCGCGGUAAUAC
rnacentral:rRNA from 1 species